GACGAACGCUGGCGGCGUGCUUAACACAUGCAAGUCGAGCGGUAAGGCCCUUUCGGGGGUACACGAGCGGCGAACGGGUGAGUAACACGUGGGUGACCUGCCCUCAGCUCUGGGAUAAGCCUGGGAAACUGGGUCUAAUACCGGAUAUGACUCCAUGACGCAUGUUGUGGGGUGGAAAGCCUUGUGCGGCUGAGGAUGGGCCCGCGGCCUAUCAGCUUGUUGGGGGGUG
rnacentral:rRNA from 1 species